AUUGAACGCUGGCGGCAGGCUUAACACAUGCAAGUCGAGCGGAGUGAUGGUGCUUGCACUAUCACUUAGCGGCGGACGGGUGAGUAAUGCUUAGGAAUCUGCCUAUUAGUGGGGGACAACAUCUCGAAAGGGAUGCUAAUACCGCAUACGUCCUACGGGAGAAAGCAGGGGAUCACUUGUGACCUUGCGCUAAUAGAUGAGCCUAAGUCGGAUUAGCUAGUUGGUGGGGUAAAGGCCUACCAAGGCGACGAUCUGUAGCGGGUCUGAGAGGAUGAUCCGCCACACUGGGACUGAGACACGGCCCAGACUCCUACGGGAGGCAGCAGUGGGGAAUAUUGGACAAUGGGGGGAACCCUGAUCCAGCCAUGCCGCGUGUGUGAAGAAGGCCUUAUGGUUGUAAAGCACUUUAAGCGAGGAGGAGGCUCUUUUGGUUAAUACCCAGAAUGAGUGGACGUUACUCGCAGAAUAAGCACCGGCUAACUCUGUGCCAGCCGCCGCCGUAA
rnacentral:rRNA from 1 species